rnacentral:rRNA from 1 species
CGUGCAGGCGGCCGGAUAAGUCUGAUGUGAAAGCCCGGGGCUCAACCCCGGAAGUGCAUUGGAAACUGUAUGGCUUGAGUACCGGAGAGGAUGGGGGAAUUCCCGGUGUAGAGGUGAAAUUCGUAGAGAUCGGGAGGAAUACCAGUGGCGAAGGCGCCCAUCUGGACGGAUACUGACGCUGAGACGCGAAAGCGUGGGGAGCAAACA